GGGCAGUACACCGUACUGCUCACCGACACAGUAGCCUGAACUUUUAAACUGUCUUUUCCUUUCUACCUCAAAGCAGAAAAAUCUUGCUUCAAACCAGUUUUUACUGAACUGAUAACAGAGUGCGGGGCUUGACAACCUACCAAUCAAGUGUUAACACGCAAGGGUCUUUGUCUGAAUGUGUAUAAAAGGUUUGUGAAAUUUGUGUAAGACAGAGUCUUUUGUACCAAGGUACAGGCUCUCCUUUCUUCUGCGAAAUAAAGCAAUUUUCCUUAUCCCUGUCAGGCUGUUAUUGGCUCUCAGCUCGGCAAACUCAAUAUUUCGGUAACAGUUUCUGGCCACCCCAGACGGGACUCUCCUAGCUCGAACAUCGGACUCCGGACAGCUACAGUGAACUAGGAGCAGCGCCACUGGGAUGCUUAACCCCUCUUCUUCACUUCUCCGCAGCCCCUGGGGUUCGUGCUCCGAUAAGGGUGAAAGCCAUUGCGUGCGAUGAAGCUCUGAGGUUGAGUUGAGAUCCUUUUGUCCUGUCCCCUGUAGCGGUCAGUGUAUAGAAGUAAAAAAACCUAAAUUAAACAGUAAUUCCCUCUG